rnacentral:rRNA from 2 species
AAUUUGAAGAAGAUAUUCUUGGAAUUGGUCCUUGUCUAUGUUCCUUGGAACAGGCCGUCACAGAGGGUGAGAAUCCCGUGCGACAAGGAAUUCUUUUCUUUAUAAGAUGUCUUCGAAGAGUCGAGUUGUUUGGGAAUGCAGCUCAAAGUGGGUGGUAAAUUCCAUCUAAAGCUAAAUAUUGGCGAGAGACCGAUAGCGAACAAGUACUGUGAAGGAAAGAUGAAAAGAACUUUGAAAAGAGAGUGAAAAAGUACGUGAAAUUGUUGAAAGGGAAGGGUAUUCGAUCAGACUGGUAUUUAAUUAUCGCUACUCCUUGUGGGUGGUGCUCUAAUUUCUUACUGGGCCAACAUCAGUUUUGGUGGUAAGAUAAUCGCAGUUGAAUGUGGCUCCUCGGAGUGUUAUAGCUUCUGUUGAUGUUACCUACCGGGACUGAGGUCUGCGACUUUGUCUAGGAUGUUGGCGUAAUGAUCCAAUACCGCCCGUCUUGAAACACGGACC